rnacentral:lncRNA from 1 species
CCACAAGGGGGGAAAGACAUGAUAAUAGAACUAACAGAGCCAAGCAAGAGUAGUAAUUAGAAUCUGAUAAUUAUCCUGAAUCCUAGUUAAACAAGACUGAUAGUUCUCCAUGACUCACUUCAAGGUCUCUUUUUUCAUGCCUUGACUGUUACACUGCCCAAGCAUAACCCAGAUGGUUUGAUCUCACUUGUUUGCCACUCUGAUCCAGGGGCUGCAGUUGGAUCAUACAACAAAGUUUUGCAUGUAGGUUCCUCCUCCAGUGAGAACAGCAAGAGUUUACCAUCAAGAAUUCCGAACCGGAAACCGAUACUGGAGCUCCCAGUCAAAGGU